rnacentral:rRNA from 1 species
AGUCGAACGGUGAGCUCCAGCUUGCUGGAGUGGAUCAGUGGCGAACGGGUGAGUAACACGUGAGCAACCUGCCCCGGACUCUGGGAUAACAGUUGGAAACAGCUGCUAAUACCGGAUACGCACCAUACAGGCAUCUGUUGUGGUGGGAAAGAUUUUUUGGUUCGGGAUGGGCUCGCGGCCUAUCAGCUUGUUGGUGAGGUAAUGGCUCACCAAGGCGUCGACGGGUAGCCGGCCUGAGAGGGUGACCGGCCACACUGGGACUGAGACACGGCCCAGACUCCUACGGGAGGCAGCAGUGGGGAAUAUUGCACAAUGGGCGGAAGCCUGAUGCAGCAACGCCGCGUGAGGGAUGACGGCCUUCGGGUUGUAAACCUCUUUUAGCAGGGAAGAAGCGAGAGUGACGGUACCUGCAGAAAAAGCGCCGGCUAACUACGUGCCAGCAGCCGCGGUAAUACGUAGGGCGCAAGCGUUAUCCGGAAUUAUUGGGCGUAAAGAGCUCGUAGGCGGUCUGUCGCGUCUGCUGUGAAAACCCGAGGCUCAACCUCGGGCCUGCAGUGGGUACGGGCAGACUAGAGUGCGGUAGGGGAGAUUGGAAUUCCUGGUGUAGCGGUGGAAUGCGCAGAUAUCAGGAGGAACACCGAUGGCGAAGGCAGAUCUCUGGGCCGUAACUGACGCUGAGGAGCGAAAGGGUGGGGAGCAAACAGGCUUAGAUACCCUGGUAGUCCACUCCCGUAAACGUUGGGGAACUAGUUGUGGGGACCUUUCCACGGUCUCCGUGACGCAGCUAACGCAUUAAGGUUCCCCGCCUGGGGGAGU